rnacentral:rRNA from 1 species
UACAGAGGGGGCGAGCGUUGUUCGGAAUUACUGGGCGUAAAGGGCGCGUAGGCGGCCUCUUAAGUCGAACGUGAAAUCCCCGGGCUCAACCCGGGAACUGCGUCCGAUACUGGGGGGCUUGAAUCCGGGAGAGGGAUGUGGAAUUCCAGGUGUAGCGGUGAAAUGCGUAGAUAUCUGGAGGAACACCGGUGGCGAAGGCGGCAUCCUGGACCGGUAUUGACGCUGAGGCGCGAA